AUUGCUUCUAGACGUUUUGGUGAAGAUCAAGUGUAGUAUCUGUUCUUAGAAGUUUAAUAACUGCUGUGCCUUCUCUCAGAGGACUAGAUAUUAAAUGGACAUUUUAGAGGAGAGAGAGAGAAAAUAGGCUUGCUCCAUCCACUCCACGCACUGACCUGAUACUGCAAGAAGAAAAUUCAUGGCAACAUCU
rfam:Tupaia chinensis contig200899, whole genome shotgun sequence.